rnacentral:rRNA from 1 species
CUGUCGGCGUGCCUAAUACAUGCAAGUCGAACGAGUUCUUGUUGAUGAUCGGUGCUUGCACCAAGAUUCAACAUGGAACGAGUGGCGGACGGGUGAGUAACACGUGGGUAACCUGCCCUUAAGUGGGGGAUAACAUUUGGAAACAGAUGCUAAUACCGCAUAGAUCCAAGAACCGCAUGGUUCUUGGCUGAAAGAUGGCGUAAGCUAUCGCUUUUGGAUGGACCCGCGGCGUAUUAGCUAGUUGGUGAGGUAAUGGCUCACCAAGGCGAUGAUACGUAGCCGAACUGAGAGGUUGAUCGGCCACAUUGGGACUGAGACACGGCCCAAACUCCUACGGGAGGCAGCAGUAGGGAAUCUUCCACAAUGGACGCAAGUCUGAUGGAGCAACGCCGCGUGAGUGAAGAAGGCUUUCGGGUCGUAAAACUCUGUUGUUGGAGAAGAAUGGUCGGCAGAGUAACUGUUGUCGGCGUGACGGUAUCCAACCAGAAAGCCACGGCUAACUACGUGCCAGCAGCCGCGGUAAUACGUAGGUGGCAAGCGUUAUCCGGAUUUAUUGGGCGUAAAGCGAGCGCAGGCGGUUUUUUAAGUCUGAUGUGAAAGCCCUCGGCUUAACCGAGGAAGCGCAUCGGAAACUGGGAAACUUGAGUGCAGAAGAGGACAGUGGAACUCCAUGUGUAGCGGUGAAAUGCGUAGAUAUAUGGAAGAACACCAGUGGCGAAGGCGGCUGUCUGGUCUGUAACUGACGCUGAGGCUCGAAAGCAUGGGUAGCGAACAGGAUUAGAUACCCUGGUAGUCCAUGCCGUAAACGAUGAAUGCUAGGUGUUGGAGGGUUUCCGCCCUUCAGUGCCGCAGCUAACGCAUUAAGCAUUCCGCCUGGGGAGUACGACCGCGAGGUUGAAACUCAAAGGAAUUGACGGGGGCCCGCACAAGCGGUGGAGCAUGUGGUUUAAUUCGAAGCAACGCGAAGAACCUUACCAGGUCUUGACAUCUUUUGAUCACCUGAGAGAUCAGGUUUCCCCUUCGGGGGCAAAAUGACAGGUGGUGCAUGGUUGUCGUCAGCUCGUGUCGUGAGAUGUUGGGUUAAGUCCCGCAACGAGCGCAACCCUUAUGACUAGUUGCCAGCAUUUAGUUGGGCACUCUAGUAAGACUGCCGGUGACAAACCGGAGGAAGGUGGGGAUGACGUCAAAUCAUCAUGCCCCUUAUGACCUGGGCUACACACGUGCUACAAUGGAUGGUACAACGAGUUGCGAGACCGCGAGGUCAAGCUAAUCUCUUAAAGCCAUUCUCAGUUCGGACUGUAGGCUGCAACUCGCCUACACGAAGUCGGAAUCGCUAGUAAUCGCGGAUCAGCACGCCGCGGUGAAUACGUUCCCGGGCCUUGUACACACCGCCCGUCACACCAUGAGAGUUUGUAACACCCGAAGCCGGUGGCGUAACCCUUUUAGGGAGCGAGCCGUCUAAGGUGGGACAAAUGAUU